GAAAAUAGUCAGCCUUGGGCUUCCCUCACAUGGGUUAGUCCGCCUCGUUUCAACGCCAGCCAAGAGGCGCUUGUUGCGUCGAACUGUGGAUGGUCAGCUGGGACGGGUCAAGGGUGUGGAGCACUGUAUCGAGCUGAAUGGUGCACAGAGGUCGAGUAAGCCGUACCCUGUACCUCACACACUGAAAGGUGUUGUCCAGGAGCAGAUAGCUGAGUGGCUACACGGCUGCACAGGGUCCGGUCGACGCGCGGCGCCAUGCUGCUGGGGGUUCCUGCGGCCUCGGUCCUGCAACCGAUGGUGUCGACAGCCGAUACGCCGCCCAUCAUCGGCGCCCUGGCCCCUAUGGGCUGGAGCUUGCUGCUGCGGCACUGUUGGCACGGGGCCCGCGUUGCCGCCGUGGCGCCAUCAGCCUGGGGCUGUUCCGCAUCAGAACCGACAGCCCGGGGAUUCUACCGCCGUAGCGCCGGCCGUGAACACUCAGAUUCACGCUCAAGCGUCGCGCCAUAUGCCUGAGCGACGCGCUAAGCCGGCGCCCUCUGGCAUCACCUCGAACGGCGCCACAUCAUCUGAUGGGCAGCGCCACUUCAUCCGACGUUCAUGCCUGGGAGCGGCGCCGGAUCGGCGUCACCCUGGGCGGCGCCGCCUCAUCCGGCGAACAGCUUUGUUCACGCCUGAGCGCCGCGGCAUUCGCCUGAGCGCCCGCCAUGUCGGCGCCCUCUGGCGCCGCCCCAGGCGGCGCCACAUCACCUGGUGGACGCGCCACAUCAUCUGAUGGACGGCGCCACUUCGCCGUAUGGGCGGCGCUGCAUCGUCUGGUUGACGGUGCCACAUCAUCUGAUGGUCAGCGCCACACCAUCACCCGUUGUUCGCGCCUGAGCGUCGCGCGACACCGGCGCCGCCCUGAACAGUGCCACCUCAUCCGACGAACAUCUUCGUUCACGCCUGAGCGCCGCGCCAUCUCGAUGCCCUCUAGCGCCACCUUGGACAGCACUACCUCAUCGGACGUUCACGCCUGAGCGCUACGCUUUGCCGGUGCCCUCUAGCGCCACCUUGGCCAGCGCCACCUCAUCCGGCGAUCCCAGCGCUGAUCCGACAGCGCUGAUGGGGUUGACGGAUUGCUCCCCACAAUCGCUGUUGGCGGCGCACAGGGUAUAAUGCUGCAGCACCCGUCCGAAGAUGGACAAAGCGGGCCUUGAGCGGGCCGCAAUUUCCCAUUUUCUGCCAUGAUUUGAUUUACCGUGAGCCGUGAUUUUGAUGAUUUCUCACCCUGACGUUCUGGUUUAUGAUGGCGUCACCACCUCCAGCAGCCUUCACUAAUAACUAACUGUCUUCCCCCUAACAUUACUAAUCCCUGUGAUCUCCUUUCCUUGCCAUCCGGUGGCGCCAUCAAGUCUUCUAGUUACGCACUGUUUAUAUGUGUAUAUCGAAUUGAACCUGCCUGUAUAACACCCAAUAAACCGCCGGUGGAAACCGGAAGCGAACGAACGAAAAAACUAUAAAAAAGCCGUUUUUACGAAAAGUGUUUUUCGGCAAUAACUU